UACGGAGGAUGCGAGCGUUAUCCGGAUUUAUUGGGUUUAAAGGGUGCGCAGGCGGCGUGUCAAGUCAGCGGUAAAAUGUCGGGGCUCAACCCCGGCCGGCCGUUGAAACUGGCGUGCUCGAGUUGGAGAGAAGUAUGCGGAAUUCGUGGUGUAGCGGUGAAAUGCGUAGAUAUAUGGAGGAACACCGGUGGCGAAAGCGGCUCUCUGGCCUGUAACUGACACUGAGGCUCGAAAGCGUGGGGAUCAAACAGG
rnacentral:rRNA from 1 species